rnacentral:lncRNA from 1 species
UCAGAUUUUUUUUUUUUUUUGAGAAAAAGACAGCAAGCUACAUGCUUCAUUCAUUAAGCAAAAUAAACUGAGCAUACAAGUUGGAAGCAGCUAGGGCCUCUGAAAAAACAACAAAAAGAGGGAAACAAAGGAAUGGAAAAGAACGAGCUAGGCGAGAAGGGAGAAAAGAAAAUAAAGUAAAGCUGGUGAUGCAUCAGUGCAGAGAGGUCCAAUUGCUGAUCAAAAGAUUAACCCGU